rnacentral:lncRNA from 1 species
CCGGCCCGUCUCGGGGCCCUGAGUCAUCGCCGCCCCCGGCCCCGACGCUGGCCUGCGGCGUCUGUUUGUGCAGAGCGAGGCCCCGCCGGCCGGGCUUGACGUCAGGCUGGCAGGGCCUGGAACGGCCCCGCAUCGCGGCCCCCUGGGGGCAGGACGACACCGCUGGGGGCCGAGGGCAGGGCACGCCUUCGGAAUCCGGCUUCGAAGCCGGCCGCCUGACCUGGGGCAAGUGCUUUCAACUCUCUGAACUUCGGUUCCUCAUCUGCCAGUUGGCAGACGCUCAGCAAAUCUUCCUAGACUCACGGGGCGAAUUGUACAGUUGGGUAAAUCGAGGCCCAGAGAUGGCAAAAGGACCGUCCAAGGUCGUACAGCCACCCGGAAUUACAAUUCUUUUCUGCCGGGUCACACGCUGUCAUCCACGUGUUACCUAAGAGAGCUUUCCAGCCUGUGCUAAGAAAACUGCCCCACAUCAUCUGCAGUAGGACGGGGGAGUUGGAGCCCUGGUCAGGCCACUCUGCUACUGACCACAGUUUUCUCAUCUCUAAAAAGGCGCAGUAACAAUAUAAUUACCGUAUGCAGUCCCCCAGGAUACAGGGUCAAAGGAGAGCACAACCAUCGCAGUUGGAAGCCCAUGGGGCAGCCCAGUGCAGAUGCAUCUGACUUACGAAACUUCAGUGACACCUGCUCUGUGCCAGACACUGAAGAUGGAGCAGUGAACAGCACUGACCCAGCCUGUCCUCCUGUUGCCUGCAGGCCAGACGGAGUCUCACUCUGUCACCAGGCUGGAGUACAGUGGUGUGAUCUCGGCUCACUGCAACCUCCGCCUCCCAGGUUCAAGCGAUUCUCCUGCCUCAGCCUCUCAAGUAGCUGAGAUUACAGACGUGUGUCACCAUGCCCUGUUAAUUUUUGUUUGUUUGUUUUGUUUUUUGUUUUGUUUUGUUUCGUUUUUUGUUUUUUUUUUUUGAGACGGAGUCUUGCUCUGUCGCCCAGGCUGGAGUGCAGUGGCCCCGAUCUCGGCUCACCGCAAGCUCCGCCUCGCGGGUUCAUGCCAUUCUCCGGCCUCAGCCUCCCGAGUAGCUGGGACUACAGGCAUCCGCCACCACACCCAGCUAAUUUUUUGUAUUUUUUUUAGUAGAGACGGGGUUUCACUGUGUUAGCCAGGAUGGUCUCGAUCCCCUGACCUUGUGAUCCACCCAAGGCCUCGGCCUCCCAAAGUGCUGGGAUUACAGGCAUGAGCCACCGUGCCCGGUCAAUUUUUAUAUUUUUUGUAGAGACAGGGUUUCACCAUGUUGGCCAGGCUGGUGUCGAACUCCCGACCUCAGGUGAUUGUCGGCCUUGGCCUCCCAAAGUGCUGGGAUUACAGGCGUGAGCCACCGCGCCCAGCCGGUGGGCAGCCAGUUGUGUUCCGGGAGGAGGAGGACACCCUGGAAAGACAGUGGGGCCAGACACUGAACUGCCUUUGGAAGCAAGUAGGAGCAACAGCGAAGGUUUGCUGGCUCAGAAGCAAGGUCUCGCUGUGUUACCCUGGCUGGAGUGCAGUGGCUACUUACAGGCAUGAUCAUAGCAUACUGCAGCCUCGAACUCCUGGACUAGAGCAGUUCUCCUGCCUCAGCCUCCAGAGCAGCUGGGACUGCAGACACGCACCACAGAGCCCAGCCUGAGUCAUUUUGAUUCUGUAACUGGCUUCCUCUCGGCGGGCAGGCUCACACCCUCCACCCCCAGCUGGAGAUGGAAGGAGGAUGCUCACCGCCCAUUCCUCAUGCAGGCCAUCGAUGGAAAUGUCAGACAGUGCGAGUCCACGCCUGAACACUUCUGGGGUCCGCUCUGGGACUGACACUGGCAGAUCCAUCGAUGCCGUUCCAUUGUUUGCUGACUUUCAUUGAUUCUAUGAGAAGUCUGCAGUCUUUUGCAGCGUUGUUUUCCUAUGUAUAAUUGUCUCCUCCCACCCCACUCACCCCAGCUGCUUUCCACAUUCUCUCUCUUUGAUUUUCAGCAGUCUGCCCAUGAUGUGCCUAAAUAGGACUUUCUUUGCAUUCAUCUUGGCUGGGGCUCACUGAACUUUCUGAAUCUGUAGAUUAAUUUUCUUUUUUCAAUAAACCUUGGAAUAUUUUCAGCAUAAAAAA